ensembl:lncRNA
UUUUUAAAUGAUUUCCUAAACAAAGAAAUGUAACUGUACUGACUUUCUGAUGUUACUAAAUACUAGACCGUGAUAAUGGUGCAAGAUUAUGUUAUGUAGAGAUUAAGAAUGUGCUUUUAAGGCUGUACUUUUGUGUCUGAAGCAUCUUCUGAGCAGAGAUAUUAGUGCAUGUGCUAAAGUCGAGCAUCACAGUAAGCUUGAACGCAUCACCAUGUAAUCAGGUGAUACGGUGUAGUGUCUAAAGUUUGUACCAAGUCCAUUUUCUCAUUUUCAAAACGAUACCAAUAUUCUAGUACCAGUAGUACCGAUACCAAGUCACGAAGCCUGCUCAUCGCAAGCUUCAGUCACUAAGUUCAUUAAAUCGUUACAAGCAUGUCGGUGCGCUGUAGGACAGUUUAUGUCCCGUGGUUAAUGUGUAAAGAUCUGUGUUGUGUAUUUCAACACCACAUAAAAAGCAUCACCGGAUCGGAUAACCCGCCAGUUUGAACCCCUGAUCCAAUGCUGAUAUCGAUACUGUGAUGAGUAUGUCUUUUUAAAUAAUUGAACCACUAUCUGAGUUAUGGUUGCUCAUCAGUUUUUUUUUUUUUUUUUUUUUUUUUUUUUUUUUUUUUUUGUCCCACCACGACAAUGUAGAGUAUUUAUAAAUGUCCUGUUGAAGGAACGUUCUGGUAGCAGAUGUUACGAAUAAAGCUGUGUAGCAUGUCGGACCGGAUGGUGCUUAGCGUGUAGCAGUUGUGUUUCGCCUCACGAGCGUUCCCGGCGGCGUGUCGUUUUUCGCCCGGCGCAGUCGCCGACGUUUCGCUAUCCGGUCCUCUUUCACGAAGUCAGCUCGAAGCGCCAUCUCGAAACCCGUAGACCUUCCCCCCUUUUUCAGUGUUUCAGUGUAAAACGUGUGGAGCCAAAAGAGGUUAAAGUCCUUAGAAAGUGCCUUUCCUCAUGAUGGUGCUGAAGAAUCCGAAUUCAAGCGACAGAUCAAACCGUUUUCUUUAUCGUACCUUGCACACAUGCAGACGCAUGCACAAGCUUACAUUCACACAUUUUUCAUCUAAAGAACGAGGCUUGGUGAAGUCUCCGUGUAUAUUCAGUUAUAACGAUGAUAAUAUAUGCCAAGUAUAUAUAUUUAAAUAAAAUUAAAAACAACCAUAUAUAUGAUUGAGCUCUGGGGUUUGUGUCCGGACCAGCGGGGGGGGUUGGUACCCAGCGUGACACGGAGAGAGAAGCCUAGCACAGCACUUUAAAGACUGCCACCCAAACAGGAAGUAAAGACUGAUUUUUGCUUUCUGAUUUAUUUAUUUAUUUUUUUAAUCUUCUAAGCACGUUAGGCAUGUGCCGGACAAAAUAUCCUCACUAUCCCAGCAUCCCGUUUGGACGGACGUUGCCUGGACAGGCGGCUUUUCGGGGCAAUGUUUGCAUUUUGAAGGUAGUGCAGUUUCACUGCUCAUUAUUAAAAUUCUAAUGAGUGGAAAUCCGCCCCGCCCCCAGGCGGAACGAGACUGCUCAGCAGCUCCUUAUAAGGAACUCGCAAGGCAUCGUGUAGUUUCAAUGACAUUCGCGACGUCUACCCGAGACCGCUCGAUUACAUUCGAUAAGUCUGUGACGAAACUUUAGGCUGGUAUGUAUGAAUUUAAUAUUGGCACAUGCCUGUUCAACAGGUCUAGGUUUUCUGCUUGGCUCCCCGCUGGUUUGAGUUCGCUUCAAGUGGCUCGGUCAGCUCUCGUGCAAUGCCCUAUAGAAAGUACUUACAGAUAUCAUAUGAGUCUAUUUUAUUAUCUUCGUUAUCUUUUGACCCGGAGUAUUAGGGUCGAGAAUUAGAGACCCCUCGGGCGCUCGUCGGUCACAUGGGUGCCCGUCGGUCCAGGAGGAAAUACCUCUUACAAGAGAUCUCGAAACACUGCACCUCACUGACCUUGGUAUGCUGCAAAUGUUCAAUUAAACGAGUUAAACUGCAAACAUUGCUUUGAUUACAGUAUCAGUGCUAGACUUAAUGCCUGACGACAUUUAUCCUUAACUAUUUGAGUAGAUAUAAUUGUAAGAAGUGUUCUUUUGUGCGUGUGUGUGUGUCUCUUUAACACUUCUUUGUUUAUUGAGCCAACUUUUCAUUUUUUUUUUUUUUUAUGUCUUAUUUAAUUUUUCUUUUUUCUUUUUUUUUCUUUUAAUAUAUUCGAAAUAUAUGCGAAAUAUUUUACGGUGUAUUUAUUAAAGCGUUCUAAAUUGCGGCUGGAGGGUCCGCAUAGCAGGCAGCGUUGUGGAGGGGGGAAAGGAGGGGCAGCAAGAGGGCACCAAAUCCCAAACGAACAGUAACAGUAACACUGUCCUGUUAAACGAGAGCCCGUCAGAUCCGGUGCCGAAGAGCCGGUUUCUUUUUCAAACCGAGUCUCCCGGAACCGUCUGGUUUCCCUGAUUUAGUACCGGGACAGAAUCCAAUGACCCGGUCGGGUUCAAUCAGAAGUGUGCGGAUUUAUCAAUUGUACACUAUUUUGCAGUACGUACUCAACACCUUACAGUAUUAUUAUUAUUAUUAUUAUUAUUAUUAUUAUGGACUGCUAAAAAAAAACAAACAUCAUUACCCCUGUGUUAGAUAUGUUGGUGCUUCAUUCAGAAGGUGUCCUCGUUUUGGACAGAAAUGACCUGCGUAGAGAAGGCAAUCCCACAAUUCUGUUCACCAUACUGUAGAGACGAGCACUUUUAGUUAGGAUAAUACAGACGUCAAUUCACGUGAGAGACCUUAUCGGGACUGGAUUUUGUACAUCUCUAAACGCCGUGAAGGCGACUGAGGACCUGAGGUUGUGUUAAGGCAUAUUCCAGUAUCUUCAAGAAAUGAUUCUGAUUCUUAGGCGUGAUGUGGAGCAGAGUUACUGUUACCACGUCAAAGUUUAUUAUUCACCUAUAGCGGCACGUCCUGAGUCGAUUUAUUCCUCUUAUACCACAGCAAAUUGCUAACUAUUACUACUUUUAAAAUCUGUCGCACGUAACGUCAAAUGUCCGCAAAAAAGUUUGUUCCCGUUACCACUUGCACUAUACCAGCUAAAAACAAUCGUUCUGUCAUCGCCCUUUCUUUUUUUCCUCUCUCUCCUAUAAAAUGGACAAGACCAAAAAAAAAAAUAAAAUAAAAAUGCAGAUUGUCAUGAUUGUUCUUGAGGAACCGAAAAAGCACAAAUUCAGACUGUUACCAAGGAGCUGACGCUGGAGACUCCUUCCAUAGACGCUGAAUAAACGUCUCCUCGCAGAAAACUUAGGAGUAGGAGUUUGCUGUAGAAAUGAGAAGGUCGCUAUAGAAGCCAUGACGUUUAGAACAUUCUUACAGGAUUACAGCCAGCAAAAAAAAAAAAAAAAAAACACUGUCAGUCCUCAACACCUUUUGACGAAUCAGAUUUGAGAAUUCAACAGCGCUGUGGUAUAAAUGGUAUAAUUCCGACGUUAAAAUCUUACGUCGCGUUGAGGAUAAACUUUUGAUCAUUGUCUGGGACACUGGGAAUGAUUUCACCGUUGAGGCCCGGUGGCUUCGGGGCCCUCGCUAGCACGGGGUUUCAUCCUCCCGUCCAAAGACAUGCGUUGUAGACCGAUCGUCACUUCUAAAUUGUCCGAAGUGUGUGCGAUUCGUGUCCUGCGAUGGGUCGGCAACCCCGUCCGCGAUUUCACCUACCCUUCUGCCCCGAGUUCCCUGCAAUAGGCUCCACUCUCCCCUACGAUCCUGUGUAAAAGAAUAAGCAGUAUGCAGAAUGAAUGAUUGAAUGGAUGGACAAUUGCUCAGUUCAGCAUGUUUCUCCUCAGUGGAACUCUCAUCUAGUGAACGGAAUCAUGGGAUUGCCUGCUCGUUCGAAUUAAGGACCUGUCCCCAUGCUGCCGUCUGAAUAAGCCCGGGCUCUUCGAGAGCCUCGUCGUGAAUAGGACGUGACGAGAAUUUAGAAAUGAUUUGCAGGAGUUUGUCUAAUCGAUUAUUUGCACAAGCCCGUUCGGUGUUAACGACGAACUUAACACUACAUCCAGAGGAAAGGAAAUCGAGCUGCUCCACCCCGAACCCCUCUGAAUGCUGCUUAUUUUCUGUUUAGGGGACAGAGAACCACACUGACGAUACAAUAAACAAAGCUGACGUGUUUUCAAAUCCAGAGCUGCUAAAACUCCAGCCAUAGAAGUUCCCCUGCGUUCCGGGGCGGGCAGUUCGUAGUCGUGUGCUCGAGUGAGUCGUCUUUUGUGCCAGAGCCAUUUAAGGAGAGAGCAGGAAGUAAAACGAGUCCCAUUCCUCUCGGAUGACAUGAGCCUCAGCCUUAACUGUUGUCAGAUUAUUAUUAUUAUUAUUAUUAUUAUUAUUAUUUUUUCAUUAUUAUUUCUGUUUAUUAAAUGCCUUAGUUUGUAUAGAGAAGUAUGCUAACUCGCAGUCGCGUCUUAUAAACCACUAACUGUGCGAACCCCCACGUGUGAAAACGUCCUACUCGUCCAUGUACGGCUCCUCCAGUCCAGCACGAUCUAAGACAGUCACGAUCUGACAGCCACAGCUCGUACCACCGUCUCGUCAUCGAUCGCAGGUUUCGUCUUCAGCCAUUAGUUCAUUUAAUGAAGGGGGGGGACAGAACCAUGCAGUUCCGGUGGAGUUCACGCAUGGAGAGUAACGCACAUGCACAACUGUUCCUGAAUUUGUGGAUUGUUUACAAACAGUUGUUUACUGAAAACGUCAAGCUCCAGCAUUCCAAAAUGACGACUGUGGACGCCGAAUAGCGUCACGAGUUAGCAGAUCGAAAAAAAGAAAAAAAGUUCCUUUAAUUUUUCCUCUAAAUGCAUCGUCUUUCGUGUCCGUCCACGGCACGGGACGCUGAACUCCACGACAUCUUCAAAAGAGUAAAGUUUAUCCCUAGAGGAACCAAAGUAUGCACUCUUUCAGCUAAGUGUCCUUCAGGACUGUCCUUCAGCUCGGGGGGUCUCAAGGACGUUCUUCACGAAUGUUUCAUGUUCCAGGAGCUCCAUGACUCUGUCUCCCUCUCUCUCUCUCUGUGUCGCUACACCAAGGGGUCUUUUUAUUUUACCUUUAAAAGUAUUUCUUAUGUAUGUUUUGUAACUCUUCUCUGAUGGCCUUUUAGUGUUGCUUUGCCUUAGAUUGAAGUGUAUCUUUCACUACUAAUUGCAAUAAAACAAAAGCUUUGCUUUUACGACGUCCACGUGUACCAUAUGUUCUGUCUCGUGUGUAUCGUGACCCGCCUGAGGCGCUGGGGCGUCUCCCGGGAUGAACUACGGUGGGAAUUAUUUAUUGGGAGCGCAUCGAUUUCGUUAUCAACCAAACGACCGUUUUCAAAUUGUUCGCGAACGUGCUCACGUGGCUGAGAAGAGCUGGACGAGAGCGAGCAGCAUGUUUUGGAAAACUCUCCCGUGUUGUCUGCUGUUGUCCCCCAGCAGGAAGCGGAACCCGGAGGGACCGGAGUGAUGGAUGCAGCCAGAGGCUUUGUGAGUAGGCUCUUGUUUACACUGUUGUGUGGCCUGUGAUGAACACUAAGCCUUUUGUCAGUUCUUAUCAGGCUCCCGGCAGGUGUACGUGGCAGUGCCAGCUGUCUGUCAUCGCAGGGACUUUAAGCUUCUGCUCACUCCCUCUACAUCCAUGCUGAACGAGGUCACCUGAGCAAGGACCGUGAUUUAUGAGGAAGCAGCCAUGGGUGGACUGAUAAAGCACUUCGUUUGGAGAAGGAGCAUCUCGGACAAGUAAACACAACCCAUUCCAGGUAUUCAUCUACAUCAGAUGUGUUCGGAGUUCUGGACUGGAUCCGUGGUUUCAGAGAUGAGGGAGCAUUUUCAAAAUCUCACCAAAUGCUUGUAACAGGAUGCUGGCCAGGAAACAGGGGGAUCCCAGGUCCAUGCUAGCUGAAAAACAGAAAGAAUCACUAUUUCCGUCACCACCCGCAGCUUCAUUCCUGUGUGUGUGUGUGUGUGUCUCUAGGUGUGUCCAUGAGAAUACUCCUCAUUGUUGUUUUCAGUGCAUGACAAAGAUUGUAUAAUUUGGAUUUUUGCUUCAUGACUACUGUCUGGGGCACAUGGUGGCACAUUUGCCACCAUGGGGUUCGAAUCCUGCUUCUGCUGCUACCCUGUGUGUGCGGAGUUUGCGUGUUCUCUCCGGGUACUCCGGUGGAAUAUGAAUGUGUGUGUGAUUUGUGCCCUGCGAUGGAUUGGCACCCUGUCCAGGGUGUACCCUGCUUUGUGCCCCAUGCUCCCAGGUUCCCCGUGACCCAGUAGGAUAAGCAGUAUAGAAGACGGAUGGAUGGAUGAUCUGCUAGACCUGCCAACUUGCCAAUUUUGGGGAACAAGGUGGGGGGCACCAUGGAGAGUGCCGGUCCAUCGCAGGACACAAUCACACACACAUUCGUACACUACAGACACUUUUGGACAAUCAGUCUACAGUGCAUGUCUUUGGACUGGG